rnacentral:rRNA from 1 species
GGCUCGACUUUUUGGAAGGGCCGUAUUUAUUANAUAACAGCCAAUAAGACUCACGUCUAUUNNGGGGACUCAUAGUAACUGAUCGGAUCGCAUGGGCUUGUCCCGCGACAAACCAUUCAAGUUUCUGCCCCAUCAGCUUUCGAUGGUAGUGUAUUGGACUACCAUGGCUUUUACGGGUAACGGAGGAUUAGGGUUCGAUUCCGGAGAGGGAGCCUGAGAAACGGCUACCACAUCUAAAGAAGGCAGCAGGCGCGUAAAUUACCCAAUCCUGACUCAGGGAGGUAGUGACAAAAAAUAACGGGGCGGGAG